AUUGAACGCUGGCGGCAUGCCUUACACAUGCAAGUCGAACGGCAGCGGGGGAGAAGCUUGCUUUUCCUGCCGGCGAGUGGCGAACGGGUGAGUAAUACAUCGGAACGUGCCCUGUAGUGGGGGAUAACUAGUCGAAAGAUUAGCUAAUACCGCAUACGACCUGAGGGUGAAAGUGGGGGACCGCAAGGCCUCAUGCUAUAGGAGCGGCCGAUGUCUGAUUAGCUAGUUGGUGGGGUAAAGGCCUACCAAGGCGACGAUCAGUAGCUGGUCUGAGUGGACGAUCACCCACACAGGAACUGAGACACGGCCCAGACUAUUACGGGAGGCAGCAGUGGGGAAUUUUGGACAAUGCGCGAAAGCCUGAUCCAGCAAUGCAGCGUGUGUGAAGAAGGCCUUCGGGUUGUAAAGCACUUUUGUCCGGAAAGAAAUGGCUCUGGUUAAUACCUGGGGUCGAUGACGGUACCGGAAGAAUAAGGACCGGCUAACUACGUGCCAGCAGCCGCAGUAA
rnacentral:rRNA from 1 species